rnacentral:rRNA from 1 species
UACGAACUGUGCGAACGUUAUUCGGAAUCACUGGGCUUAAAGCGUGCGCAGGCGGUUGGUUAAGUCUGAUGUGAAAGCCCCGGGCUCAACCUGGGAAUGGCAUUGGAAACUGUCCAGCUGGAGUGUGGCAGAGGGGGGUGGAAUUCCGCGUGUAGCAGUGAAAUGCGUAGAGAUGCGGAGGAACACCGAUGGCGAAGGCAGCCCCCUGGGCCAACACUGACGCUCAGGCACGAAAGCGUGGGGAGCAAACAGG